GAUGAACGCUGGCGGCGUGCCUAAUACAUGCCAGUCGAGCGAACAGAUAAGGAGCUUGCUCCUUUGACGUUAGCGGCGGACGGGUGAGUAACACGUGGGUAACCUACCUAUAAGACUGGGAUAACUUCGGGAAACCGGAGCUAAUACCGGAUAAUAUUUCGAACCGCAUGGUUCGAUAGUGAAAGAUGGUUUUGCUAUCACUUAUAGAUGGACCCGCGCCGUAUUAGCUAGUUGGUAAGGUAACGGCUUACCAAGGCGACGAUACGUAGCCGACCUGAGAGGGUGAUCGGCCACACUGGAACUGAGACACGGUCCAGACUCCUACGGGAGGCAGCAGUAGGGAAUCUUCCGCAAUGGGCGAAAGCCUGACGGAGCAACGCCGCGUGAGUGAUGAAGGUCUUCGGAUCGUAAAACUCUGUUAUUAGGGAAGAAUAUACGUGUAAGUAACUGUGCACGUCUUGACGGUACCUAAUCAGAAAGCCACGGCUAACUACGUG
rnacentral:rRNA from 1 species